UGGAUGGUUGGUGUGUCGGUUUGAGGUGCAUGAGGUUGUUGGUUCGAAUCUCUCUUCCCUCCUUUUUAAAAUUCUCAUAUGGAGGAUUUAUUUACGUGAAGGAGAGGCAGCUUGGUUAUAUUGCUCGGUUCUCUGUGCCUGUGCUCGUCCGACCCGAGGUUCUUUGCGCUAGGUUCUUUGUGCCCGAGCCUGUGCUCGCUCGGCCCUGCUCGUCCGAGGUUGCUUGCGCCUGUGCGACCCAAGGUUCGUUGCGCCUGUGCUCGUCCGACCCAUCUCGUGCGCGUACUCGUCCGAAGCACGAAGAGCCGAGGUCAUAUCUCGUCCGUGCUCCUCCAAGAGGAGCCAAGGUCAAGGUCGGACCACAGGUGCAAUAAGCCAAGAGGUGUGUGGGCUGUGCCUCGCACCCAAGGCGCGAAGAGCCACGUCACUUCCUCGCUUGCAUCUCUUCGCAACCGACCUCGCAUCCGCUGACCCUAC
rnacentral:lncRNA from 1 species